CCUACGGGGGGCAGCAGUGGGGAAUAUUGCACAAUGGGCGCAAGCCUGAUGCAGCCAUGCCGCGUGUGUGAAGAAGGCCUUCGGGUUGUAAAGCACUUUCAGCGGGGAGGAAGGCGGUGAGGUUAAUAACCUCAUAGAUUGACGUUACCAGCAGAAGAAGCAACGGCUAACUCCGUGCCAGCAGCCGCGGUAAUACGGAGGGUGCAAGCGUUAAUCGGAAUUACUGGGCGUAAAGCGCACGCAGGCGGUCUGUCAAGUCGGAUGUGAAAUCCCCGGGCUCAACCUGGGAACUGCAUUCGGUACUGGCAGGCUAGAGUCUUGUAGAGGGGGGUAGAAUUCCAGGUGUAGCGGUGAAAUGCGUAGAGAUCUGGAGGAAUACCGGUGGCGAAGGCGGCCCCCUGGACAAAGACUGACGCUCAGGUGCGAAAGCGUGGGGAGCAAACAGGAUUAGAUACCCGAGUAGUC
rnacentral:rRNA from 1 species